rnacentral:rRNA from 1 species
CGGUAAUUCCAGCUCCAAUAGCGUAUAUUAAAGUUGUUGCAGUUAAAAAGCUCGUAGUUGGAUUUCUGACAGCGCAGACCUCCCUCUCCAAGCCCUCUGCUUUCCUUCCUUCUGGGGAGGUUUGUGGGGGGAGAUGGGUGGGAAACGACGCGGUGUCAUCCUCUCGGAGACGUCAUGUGCUCUUAAUUGGGUGUGUGAGCCGGAUCCGGGAUCUUUACUUUGAAAAAAUUAGAGUGUUCAAAGCAGGCCUUCGCUUGAAUACAUUAGCAUGGAAUAAUAGAAUAGGACUUUGGUUCUGUUUUGUUGGUUUAUAGGACCGAAGUAAUGAUUAAUAGGGAUAGUUGGGGGCAUUAGUAUUUAAUUGUCAGAGGUGAAAUUCUUGGAUUUAUGAAAGACUAACAUCUGCGAAAGCAUUUGCCAAGGAUGUUUUCAUUAAUCAAGAACGAAAGUUAGGGGAUCGAAGACGAUCAGAUACCGUCGUAGUCUUAACCAUAAACUAUGCCGACUAGGGAUCGGUGGGUUCAUUUUAUAGGCCCAUCGGCACCUUAUGGGAAACCAAAGUUUUUGGGUUCCGGGGGGAGUAUGGUCGCAAGGCUGAAACUUAAAGGAAUUGACGGAAGGGCACCACCAGGAGUGGAGCCUGCGGCUUAAUUUGACAACACGGGAAAACUCACCAGGUCCAGACAUAGGAAGGAUUGACAGAUUGAGAGCUCUUUCUUGAUUCUAUGGUUGGUGGUGCAUGGCCGUUCUUAGUUGGUGGAGUGAUUUGUCUGGUUAAUUCCGUUAACGAACGAGACCUUAACCUGCUAAAUAGAGUUGCGAUUCUCGAAUCGUAGACUACUUCUUAGAGGGACUAUCGGCGUUUAGUCGGUGGAAGUUUGAGGCAAUAACAGGUCUGUGAUGCCCUUAGAUGUUCUGGGCUGCACGCGCGCUACACUGACGGGAGCAACGAGUGUACCUGCUCUGGAAAGAGUGGGCAAUCUUUUGAAAUCUCGUCGUGAUGGGGAUAGAUCUUUGUAAUUAUCGAUCUUGAACGAGGAAUUCCUAGUAAGCGCGAUUCAUCAAAUCGCGUUGAUUACGUCCCUGCCCUUUGUACACACCGCCCGUCGCUACUACCGAUUGAAUGGUUUAGUGAGGCCUCGGGAUUGACAUGGGAGUACCAUAACUCUAUGGUCGAACCUGGAUCAACUGAUCAUUAGAAGAAGUUAAAGUGUCUGAUACCAGGGAUAGCCGACGUAUG